AUUUUCCAAAAUAUGUUGAAUCGUGGGCUGAAACCAAAUCUUACUGCAUGCAACGCAUUGAUGAAUUCACUUGGAAAUGCUGGAAAACUCAAACAAGUACCAAGGUCUUUGAAAUAGCUAAAUCUUUGGGUCAUACACCUGAUGCAUAUACAUGGAACGCAUUGCUUAAUGGACUAUACAGGGCAAAUCGACUUGCUGAUGCUCUUCAACUGUUUGAGAGCAUCAAAAGAGAACAAAGUUCUCAAAUCAAUGAGCAUUGGUACAACACUGCUUUAAUGUCAUGCCAGAAGCUUGGUUUAUGGGAUAAAGCUCUUCAGCUAUUGUGGCAAUUGGAAGCUUCCGAACUGUCUGUCUCAACUACAUCUUACAAUCUUGUUAUUGGUGCAUGUGAGAUUGCAAGAAAGCCAAAAGUUGCAUUGCAAGUUUACGAGCACAUGGUCCACCAGAAUUGCACUCCAGACACUUUUACUUAUUUGUCUCUAAUAAGAAGUUGCAUAUGGGCAUCUCUUUGGAGUGAAGUGGAUGAAAUUCUAAAUCAAGUUGCACCAGAUGUGUCUCUCUACAAUGCUGUGAUUCAUGGAAUGUGUUUAAGAGGCAAGAUCGAAUCUGCUAAGAAGCUGUAUAUGGAAAUGCGUAGAAGCGGUCUCAAACCUGAUGGCAAAACACGAGCUUUGAUGCUUCAGAACCUGCGAAAGGUUUCAACUAAAGGGCGGAGGUAGUCUGUUUUAUCAAAUAUCUCCCUGUUACUGAGCUGACCAGCAAUUGUAGGAUUACCCAAUUUCAUUUUCGCAGUUGUAUAUCAUGACAUAAUAAAGUAAAACAUUGUAUAUUUGUAUCUUAGCUAUUCGCUAUUGAAAUACUCCAUAAUUCGUUGCUCUUAUUUCUGAAAUUGACGAUUAGAUUUUAUUACAUUGUAUCACCUAACCCACCCUACUUAUGGUAUAUCAUGCAGUCAUAAACGACCUCCAAGGCUUGACAUUAAUGACCUCCAAAUGAAAGGGGACUACAAAAAUAUUAGGAAGCCAAGCAAUCAACCAGUGACGUACUUCCAAAACGGAGUAAAUACACCUUGACGCUUUAUAAUUUCUGUAGGAAAACAUUGUACCAAAAAAGUUCCUUUAACCCCUUCAUAAUGUUGCUAUAGUUUUUGAGAAACCGAGACGCUCAAAGAGUCUGUGAAACGGCUUGGUUUUCUGCAGCCGAAGCAUAUGCAUCAAUUUCUAGCCGCUUGAAGACUAGCUUUUGCUGGGGAAGCUGGCCAUUGGAAAAUGCUGUAACCUCUGUAUCUGCUAAUAUAGUGUCCUCUUCCUUAAAUUCCCCUCUUAAGAUACCCUUGGCAAGUUCAUUUUCAACAUACUGCUGAAUCACCCGCUUGACUGGCCUAGCUCCAUAGUUGGGGUCAUAUCCAAGACUCCCUAAAAGCUCGACAGCUGCCUCACUCACCUGCAUCCUCAUCUUCCUGUCUGCAAUCCUCUGCUGCACGCGUUCCAACUGUAAUCUGACAAUGCUGUUUAUCUGAUUGCGAUCCAGCGGCUGGAAAACUAUGUACUCAUCCACCCUGUUCAUGAAUUCAGGUCGAAAGACUGAUCUUGCAGCUUCCAACACCCUUUGCUUGAUAGUUUCGUAAGCUACCUCCUUUGGCAAGUCAUCAUCUGUGUCAAGUAUGUAUUGUGAACCCACAUUGGAAGUCAUGACGAUGACUGUGUUAGUGAAACUAACAGUGCGACCCUGUGAAUCCGUCACCCUCCCAUCAUCCAAAAUCUGAAGGAAGACAUUGAACACAUCAGCAUGGGCCUUCUCUAUCUCAUCAAAGAGAAUAACUGCAUAUGGCCUCCUUCGAAUUGUCUCUGUCAACUGUCCCCCCUCCUCAUAUCCUACAUAACCAGGUGGGGCACCUAUCAACCGUGAAACUGCAUGCUUUUCCAUGUAUUCACUCAUGUCAAUUCGCACAAGGGCUUCUUCAGUAUUGAACAUAUAGGAAGCUAGUGCUUUAGCUAGUUCUGUUUUUCCAACACCAGUAGGACCCAUGAACAUAAAGCUAGCUAUUGGACGCCGAGGAUCUGAAAGACCAGCACGAGAUCUUUGAAUUGCCUCAGCUACUGAUUUCACUGCAGGAUCCUGACCCACCACACGUUUAUGCAGCUCUUCCUCCAAAUGUAGAAGCUUCUCUUUCUCUGAUUGUUUGAGCUUUGAAACAGGGAUGCCAGUCCAUUUGCUAACAACUUCAGCAAUAUCGUCUCCUGUAACUUCUUCUCUAAGCAUGGACUUUCCAGAUUUCAUAUACUCAUCCAACUCUUUCUCAGCACUUUCAAGCUGGCGUUGCAAAGAGUUCAGGCUGCCAUAUUUCAGUUCAGCAGCACGAUUAAGAUCAUACUCACGCUCAGCCUGCUGAAUCUCAAGAUUUACCCUGUCUAUCUCUUCCUUAAUUGACUGAAUGCGAGUCAUGACUGUCUUCUCGUGCUCCCAUUGCUCUGUCAGCUCCGCUUGUUUCUUUUUCAACAGGGACAAUUCAGCCUCAAGACGGCUCAACCGAUCUUUCGAAGCUCUAUCUGUAUCAUUUGUAAGAGAUAGCUUCUCCAUCUCCAAUUUCAAUACUGAACGGUCGAUUUCAUCAAGAGCAGUAGGCUUCGAAGUGAUCUCCAUUUUCAGUUUUGCUGCUGCUUCAUCAACUAGAUCAAUAGCUUUGUCAGGUAAAAAUCUUCCACUGAUGUAACGGUCAGAGAGAAUUGCAGCUUCCACAAGUGCACUGUCAGAAAUGCGAACUCCAUGAUGCAGCUCAUAUCUUUCACGUAGUCCCCGAAGAAUGGAAAUUGUAUCCUCCACUGAAGGUUGAUCAACAUAAACUUGCUGGAAACGACGCUCCAAGGCUGGGUCCUUCUCAAUAUAUUUUCGAUAUUCAUCCAGUGUUGUUGCACCAAUACACCUUAACUCUCCCCGACCAAGCAUUGGCUUCAAGAGAUUGCCCGCAUCCAUUGCACCAUUUGUAGCACCUGCCCCGACAACUGUGUGUAUCUCAUCAAUAAAAAGGAUAAUCUGACCAUCUGACUCUGUAACUUCCUUAAGUACAGCCUUCAGUCUAUCUUCAAAUUCUCCCCGAUAUUUUGCCCCAGCAAUGAGUGCACCCAUGUCAAGUGAUAUUAGCUUCCUGUUCAUCAGAGCUUGAGGUACAUCCCCUUGCACAAUUCUCUGGGCCAGUCCUUCAGAAAUUGCAGUUUUCCCAACACCUGGUUCACCAAUCAGCACAGGAUUGUUCUUUGUUCUCCUAGAGAGAAUCUGAAUACAUCUACGUAUCUCAUCAUCCCUUCCGAUGACAGGGUCAAGCUUUCCUGCUUUUGCCAUAGCUGUCAAAUCUUUUCCAUAUUUCUCAAGUGCUUCAUACUUCCCUUCAGGAUCUUGGUCUAUAACUGAUUGGCGUCCCCUUAUUGAUUCUAUUGCAGAUCUCAGUGUCUGAAGAGAGAUCUGAAAAUCCCUAAACAACUGCUUCCCGAAUCGUUGAUCCUGAGUGAAAGCAAGAACUAAAUGCUCGACAGAAACAAAUGAAUCCCGGUAGUCUUUCUUGUAUUCCCUAGCUCGCUGUAUCAAAGCCUCCAAGUCACGUCCUAACAUUGAACCAGCAGAUUCACCAAGAACCUUGUGUAAUUGGACAGACAGACAGUUAAAGCAAUCAAAUUAUUGUAAUAAAAUUCUGUGACAUGAAAUGUUAAAGAUUUAAAAAUUGUAAACUAGCGUAGUCCUCGUUGGAAUAUCUCGCAAACUGUAUAUAAACUUAAGAAAUACCUUCGGUUGCCGUUGGAUAAACUUAUCAGUAGCUCCUAAAAGACGAGUAUUAUCAACCCCAGCUUUUGAAAAGAUCCGACGAGCAAGCCCAUUUUUCUGCUCCAAUAGAGCUUUCAUCAAAUGCUCUGUCUCCACUAUCUGAUGCUUGUUCUCUUUGGCUACAUCAGGAGAAGAAACAAUUCCUUGCCAUGCCAUUUCCGUAAAUUCUUGCUGAGUAAUCCUUCCAUUAGAGGCAUCACAUCUAACGACGAAGGACCUUCGAUUCCUCGAAAUCCUCUCAUAACCAAAGCCAGUCCUAUUCAACGAAAGACGCUUGAGAGAAUUCCGUUUUGCAGGGAAGCUUAAAGACUGCAAAAACAACGCGUUCCUAAUACUCUGAUGUGGAAACGGAGGACAAAGACUGAUUCCACUAAACGACGCCGUAGUUGUCGCAGCCAUUUCAGGAGCAGCGGGCAGAAGGAAGGAAUGCUUGACGAAAUCGAAAGACGAAUAAACACAAAAGAAAGCUAGGAGUUACAAGUAAUUAAAGAGAAAGGGAAAGGAUUUGGCGUGGGAAAGAAGGAAAUUAAAGAAAGAGAGGAAUUUGAAUUUUGAUGUUAAAGAGCAAGAAAUCAGAAUAAAGAGCUAGUGUUAUGGAGUGUUCGUGAAAGCUCGCUGCUUUGCUGGGAUGUGCAGUGAUGGCGCUUUACGGUUCUCGCCUUGUUCACCAUGUGUAAACACGUGGCGCCUCUGUGUUUCGCCCUAUGACAGAGAAAGGGGUGUUGUUGGCU
rnacentral:misc_RNA from 1 species